ensembl:lncRNA
GGGGCAGCACAGACACCGGUGGGAUCCUCCACUUCUUUUGGUGGCUAAGUUUAGAUCAGGUUAACCUGGGAGCAAAACCACAUUGCUAGAAAAAAAAAAAAGUCUUCUCUUCAACAGAAUUUGGUCAAUGCUUUGGUUAACAUCUAAAGAAGAAUCAUUUGCGAGAAUUGUGCCUCUCAGCCCUCCAAAAGUCCUGCCAGCGCGACCACAAGGAAAGCUUGGACUGUUCUGACAUCUGGAUUGAAAAAAAAACCACCAGCAGAAGGAAGACUCCUUCAUGCCUCAUUAUUCUGAAGCGAAAGUACUCUGAUUCAACUUCCCAAUUGUGGGCUUUUUGCCCUUGUGCAAGUCAAAUCCCUCCUGCAUCCAAAYGCUGGUGAUGACCAAGGUGCGAGAGGAGAUGGUGCGGAAGAACCAGAAGUCCAUCUAUUCSUGGCUGGCUGACCACCCGUAAGGGGCUCUGCAUCUGGAGUGUGAUUUGGGGCCACCCCGGGGUCACAUCUCAAGCAACUGACUAUAGGAAUCUCCUCUGCAGUUCCCUCACUUCUUUGGUGCCAGAUCUGAAUCUCACAUAUUUGAGGCUUUGAAGAAUCCAUUGCCCAUGCCCGACCACAUAAAGCCCCAGUGUUACUGAAAUUACAAAAGCUGCUAAUGAGUACCUGCAAUGGGAGRCAGUUGCUUCAGACUAAGGAUUUGCUUGUGCAAACUCAGCGAAGAACACUUAAUCUGAAUUAACUAAAAGUGUGAAUUGAAAUUGGAUUAGUAGUGCCACAUAAAUGGAUGGAGUCCACUCUUCAGAGUUAAAAUGGCCCUAAUUUGUUUCAGCAUAAUUAUGAAAGAGAAUGUUAUACAGAGCUUUAAUGAGAUAUACCUUACUCCUUGUAAAAGUUAGUCUGGGUUAAUUUAUAUGUGUGUCCCAGUAGGGGUGGGAUUGGAAUAUAGUCCUAAAAAUUUUUAGUAGGAAAUUUUUAUUGACUUACUGUGGAUUUUAAUAACUGAUACUGAUAAUGUAGUAAUCUGUUUUUAUUAUGAUUAUACUAUUUUUAAUCUUAGGAUAUAAAAGCUCUGAAUAAGCAGUUAAUUAAUCCUCACCAUGUCCCUGCAACAUUGGUAAAGGCUUUGUAACAAUCAGUUCAUUUGUUACUGAACUAUAUCUGCCUUUAGUGUGGAAUAUAGCAAGGCAGAGCAGCGUUACAAGAAAUGGGAGGGAAGAUGAAUAUCAAAUCUCAUUGAAUGUAUAGGAGGAAUUAAGUAAGAAAAAAAUGUUAUUACCCAGUUUAGAAUUUGGUCAAGCCACCAUGGUGGACUCGCAAGAAAAUGCCAGGGGAGCUUUA